UGUAUGUCUUAAAUGAUUAGUAAUCUUAACUUUAUUUAAAUUACUAUUUAGCACCUACAGUAUGUAACCUUGAUUCUACUUGAUAAAAUAUUAUUUUGCAUCAUUAUUAAAUGCAUUUUGAAUUUUGUAAAAAUAUGCAAUAACCAUUAAAUGGGCAGAAAUAUAUAAAACAAAAAUUCACCAUUAGUUUUAAAUUAUUGUGAUUCGUAAAGGAUUACUG